rnacentral:rRNA from 1 species
GAUGAACGCUAGCGGCAGGCCUAAUACAUGCAAGCCGGACGGCAAGUUGAGUAGCAAUACUUGACCUAGAGUGGCGUAAGGGUGCGUAACACGUAUGCAAUCUGCCCACAGCCGGGAGAUAGCCCUCCGAAAGGAGGAUUAAUAUCCCAUAGGAAGAUGAGAUGGCAUCAUUUUAUUUUUAAACUACGGGGCUGUGGAUGAGCAUGCGGUUGAUUAGCUAGUUGGCGGGGUAAAGGCCCACCAAGGCGAUGAUCAAUAGGGGACCUGAGAGGGUGAUCCCCCA